ensembl:lncRNA
UGCCACCCUGCUCAGAAUGGUCCAGAAGCACAAUUGCCAAGGGGGGAAAAAGGCACUUUGCAUUGAUACAUAUGCCAUGACACAAAUUUGGAACAGGAAGACUGCAAUUCUAAGGGUCAUCUUCCCCUCAGAACAGAGGAGCCUUGUGCUGGAUCCACUCGGCAACGAUGCCUCCAAGAUCACAAGAUGUCUGGAGACCACAAGAGCAUUCAUGAGAGCGAGGGGCUGUACGGUGUCCAGGUGGAAAGCCAACACUGUGCCACAUAGCCUACAACAGGAUUCCACUUCAUGUGGAAUAUUUGCCAUCAAAUAUGCUGAGAAAGUCCUGGCAGAGGAGUCUCCUACUUUCCCAAACUCUGAAGGGGCAGUGGUUAAAUACAGGAGGGAAAUUGCUGUAGCACUUCUCAAUGAGACUGAUGAUCUCAGUGAGCUGUGCCACCACUGUGGAGAGGGAGAAGAAGCGCGAGGGGGGUCUCAAGACAGACCUGAUGCCACUGACUGGAUCCAGUGUGACACCUGUGGAAGGUGAUACCACGAGGGUUGUGUUGGGAGACCGGAUAGAGAUCCUAUGUACAGCUGUCCUGCAUGCCACCAGGCUCAAAUGAGUCGAUGCCGUCAAAACGGUCCAAAAAAAUAAAAUGUUGAUAACCAUGUCACAUGAUUAUCACGCCUUCCCGUGAGGAUGGACACUGGGGUUUCAGCGGCCCUCACAACCCUCAUCACCACCCCCCC